GGGUCUGGAGGCGGAGCCAGAGUGUCGCCAUGGCAACUGCUCCUGGCUUGUAGCCGACGCUUGGCCGGGCUGGGUUAGGUGAGCCCACUUUGGUUUGGAAGACGGUGUGAAAAGCGUGAUUCCGUUCAGCCACCCCGGUGCUGAGUCCCUAAAUUCUGUUAUUGCGCCUGUUUUUAAUACCUACUCUGUUCAGGCUCUAAACCUCACUACAGUUCUGUAAGACUCCCUUACGGACCCUCCUUUUCUGUCUCCCAAAGACGACCUGCCCUAACUAAACUGUUUAAGACGUCAUUUGAAGCCAUGUGUGCAAGUUACUCAGUCAUGCUGGAUUUCCCUCAUGUAUAUAGAAGAUCUGUGUUACCCUCUGGUAUCAUUCUUCCUCUGCCUGCAAGGCUGCUUUUAAUAUUUAUUAAAACAUGAUUUUGCUGGUGAAGAAGUCUGUCAGCAUUUGCAUGUCAAUAAAAUAUGAGGU